GGGAAUUUCAGAGAAACCACAAAACACAAAAUAGGAAACAGAGACAGGAGAAGAUUGCUAUGACAAAAUUGCAGAAGGUGAAAUCUUUGGCAGCCUCUUAUUUCUCUGGAGAAUAUGAUAUUGUCAGGCUGAGGUGGAAGAAUCACAUGGUCAUACUGUUGAAGAGGUCUUGAAACAUUGAGCUUUCCUCUACAAGCAGAAGGAUAGCACUGGCAGCCAUCCACUGGCCCACCAAUAUCCUGGAUUGAGACGAUAUCAUUUGCAUUACUUGCUGAAUGAAACAUAGUGAAAAUGACUGCAGAUAACCUCAACUAAGUCCAAGAUACCAUUUUCAAAUCUGGACCAGCCCUUGCCAUCUAGACUGAACAGAGAUUCCAGUUUCCAGGAGAGUAGAUGGAGUAAUGAUAAAAGCACCUCCCAAAACUUUUGCCUUGGUACUACAGAGUGGCACAUAACUAAACAUUGUCAAGGAAUUUUACAGCCCUAGGCCUUCUAUUACUGUGUAUUACAGUCUGCUGUAAUCAUUCUAAUGGUCUAAGAUAUUGCAACUAAUUUACUCACAGCCUGAACACCAGAAGUGCCAAAAUUGUCUGGGAGUUUUAUUCUGCAUCCAACCAUUACCAGGAAGGAGGAUGUAUUACUUCUCAUUUCUUUACAAGUGUCAGUGCAAAUCCAGCCAUCAAACAAAAGUUAGACCUAAAAGCUUUUAGAUUACAGCGAUUAUUGCAGAUUUUACAUGAGAUAAAAAUGUAAUUGCUCCAUUUCCUUUAUUCUUUCUUUCAUUUUCUUCCCUCUCACUGUAUAUUUUAGAUUGUCCUGCUUGACUGCCAGGUCAGACCCAGCACACAAAGAUAUCUGUCAUGAGACUGGGGAGCUGCAGUGUUCUUUUUCAUAAGAAAUGAAAUGCUUGAAAUUUCUCUUCCAAAUGAAUCACAAAACUUCCAUGGUCAUUUUCAUUUUAAAUUAUUUUAUGUCUAUGUAAACUCAUGCAUUGCCUAUAAAGGAAUAAUAUUUCCAGCCAUGUGGAUAGUGACAGAGAAUGAGCUGAAGGCAGCAAUACUUCACAGGCAAAGUGGUGCAUGCAUUUUUUUCAUCUUGCUUCUUUUUUCCUUUUCCAUAUUCACUCAUCCUUUUAAAUUCUUUGAAUCUACUUUUUCCUCCCUCGCUCCCUUCCUAUCCUCCAUCUCUAUCUUUGUCAUUUAUUAAUUCUUUUUCUUCUUUUUCUCCAGACUUGGAAAUUUCUCCAUCCUCUCAUCAUUCUCUUUCAUACACAUUCUCUGACUUGUAGGUCCUAAGAUUCUCAUAUUCUAAAAUUAACCCUCUGCUUAACAGGGUAUGCUUAUA
rnacentral:lncRNA from 1 species